rnacentral:rRNA from 1 species
AAUGGGCGCAAGCCUGAUGCAGCAACGCCGCGUGAGGGACGAAGGCCUUCGGGUUGUAAACCUCUUUUAGCAGGGAAGAAGCGAAAGUGACGGUACCUGCAGAAAAAGCACCGGCUAACUACGUGCCAGCAGCCGCGGUAAUACGUAGGGUGCAAGCGUUGUCCGGAAUUAUUGGGCGUAAAGAGCUCGUAGGCGGUUUGUCGCGUCUGCUGUGAAAAUCCGAGGCUCAACCUCGGACCUGCAGUGGGUACGGGCAAACUAGAGUGCGGUAGGGGAGAUUGGAAUUCCUGGUGUAGCGGUGGAAUGCGCAGAUAUCAGGAGGAACACCAAUGGCGAAGGCAGAUCUCUGGGCCGUAACUGACGCUGAGGAGCGAAAGCGUGGGGAGCGAACAGGAUUAGAUACCCUGGUAGUCCACGCCGUAAACGGUGGGAACUAGAUGUGGGGUCCGUUCCACGGAUUCCGUGUCGCAGCUAACGCAUUAAGUUCCCCGCCUGGGGAGUACGGCCGCAAGGCUAAAACUCAA